rnacentral:tRNA from 1 species
ACUUUCUUAGUAUCAACUAGUACAACUGACUUCCAAUCAGUUAGACUCAGCCUUAAUCUGAGAGAAAGUA